UUGCUUUUGAAAUCAGAAAUUCUUAGAACCUAUUAAGUAACUUGGAAAAUUAAUAAUUAUUGAUAAUUAUAUUUUUUACUAUAAUCUGUGCUAUAAUAUUGUGAAUUGCACCAGUGCACUACAGAACUGAUAACAUUUGUCUUAAACAUAUGACUGAUAGUGACAAAUAUUAAAACUACGACCCCUCUCUGACAUAUUGUGUAUUAACACGGGCACGGUCGUAUAAUAAUAAUAAUAAAAAUAGCACGGAUCGGAUAGGGUCAAUGAUUAUAAUGUAAAUUUUAUAAAUAUUUAAUUUCACCUUUUAAAUAUUUUUUUCAUUUCUUACUGUAAAAUAUUUCAUUAUUUAUGUUUCAUGAUUACGUUAAUUUAUUAUUAUCAUAAAAUAUUCUUAUGUACCGUAGACAGUGUCGAACUUAAGGGCUAUAAGUAUAUUUAUUUCAAACCUUCUAUCCUGGGGUCAUCGAAAAUUUUCUGAGAAGUACCUACGUGCAUAUGAAUAGUUUGUGAAGAAAAUUGUUCACUAACAGCAUCUCAUACCAUAUAUAUAUUCGUAUACAUAUUUAUAAUUAAUAACCUAGUAAUUAUUUAGGAAUAUAUGAAACGCUGAAAAUGAUAUGGAUUGGAGUCCCUCCUGUCCUUUAUUGCGACCUUAAACUCUAAUUAGUGUUCAGUCACUUGCUCCACUCUGACAGCUGCAUUCUC